GAUGAACGCUAGCGGCAGGCUUAAUACAUGCAAGUCGAACGGUAAGUUUGGUAGCAAUAUCAAACCAAGAGUGACGUACGGGUGCGUAACACGUAUGCAACCUACCUUGUACAGGAGUAUAGCUCGGGGAAACUCGAAUUAACCCUCCAUGAGAUCACAGUGUGGCAUCACACAGUGAUUAAAACUCAGGUGGUACAAGAUGGGCAUGCGUCUGAUUAGAGUUGGCGGGGUAAUGGCCCACCAAGAGAUGAUCAGUAGGGGACCUGAGAGGGUGACU
rnacentral:rRNA from 1 species